rnacentral:rRNA from 1 species
ACCAGAAGACACUUGUUGCAUGGCUGUCGUCAGCUCGUGCCGUGAGGUGUACGGUUAAGUCCGCCAACGAGCGCAACCCUCGUUCUAUGUUGCCAGCGAGUAAAGUCGGGAACUCAUAGGAGACCGCCGGUGUAAAUCGGAGGAAGGUGGGGAUGACGUCAAGUCAGCAUGGCAGUUACACCUGGGGCUUCACACAUGCUACAAUGGGCGCAACAAAGGGCAGCAAUACCGCGAGGUGGAGCAAAUCCCAAAAAUACGUCCUCAGUUCAGAUUGCAGUCUGCAACUCGACUGCAUGAAGGCGGAAUCGCUAGUAAACGCAGGUCAGCUAUACUGCGUUGAAUACGUUCCCGGGUCUUGUACACACCGCCCGUCAAGUCACCCGAAUUGUCUUCACCCGAAGUCCGUGGCCUAACCGUAAGGAGGGAGCGGCCGAAGGUGAGGGGGGUAAGGGGGACUAAGUCGUAACAAGGUA